rnacentral:lncRNA from 1 species
AUCAGGAGCAAGCGAUAUAUUUUAUCUAAAAUUUAAAUACUUUAAGACUUCUCCAGAGAGUGGUCAAGUUCAGAAAAUCACUAAAAACAAAAACAGAAAAGAGGACAAGAACAGAAAGGUUAAAAAACAUUAUAUUGGAUUUCUUUCAGAGCAGUGCUCCUGCUUCAGCCAGUAGAAGUGAAUUAGUAAGAAAAUUGGCCUGUGACUACAGUUUUUAUUUCUGGAAAAUCAGUGUCUUCCACAUCCUAUUAAAUUCAAGGCCAGCUCCUGGUUCCCAUUUCUAAAGAACUGCCUCACCUACUGGAAAAGAUUUAAGCAUCAGAGUCUGCUGACACAGGAAAAGGAGGCAGAAGGAAAGGCUGGCUAUACUCAGAGAACUUUAGGAGGUAAGGGAAGAAAAGUCACACAUAUCAAAUCAAUGAUGUAUUGUUUUUCAAUUUUUAUGUGUA